CCUACGGGAGGCAGCAGUGAGGAAUAUUGGUCAAUGGACGAGAGUCUGAACCAGCCAAGUAGCGUGAAGGAUGACUGCCCUAUGGUUUUAAACUUCUUUUAUAUGGGAAUUAAAUUUUCCACGGGUGGGGUUUUGUAUGUACCAUAUGAAUAAGGAUCGGCUAACUCCGUGCCAGCAGCCGCGGGAAUACGGGGGAUCCGAGCGUUAUCCGGAUUUAUUGGGUUUAAAGGGAGCGUAGGUGGAUUGUUAAGUCAGUUGUGAAAGUUUGCGGCUCAACCGUAAAAUUGCAGUUGAAACUGGCAGUCGUGAGUACAGUAGAGGUGGGCGGAAUUCGUGGUGUAGCGGUGAAAUGCUUAGAUAUCACGAAGAACUCCGAUUGCGAAGGCAGUUCACUGGACUGCAACUGACACUGAGGCUCGAAAGUGUGGGUAUCAAACAGGAUUAGAUACCCGAGUAGUC
rnacentral:rRNA from 1 species